CACCCUCACAGUGAAAAAGUGCUUCCUCAUGUUCAGAGGGAAACUCCCGUGUUUCAGUUUGUGCCCAUUGCCUCUGUUCCUGUCAGUGGGCACCACUGAAAAGAUCUUGGCUCUGUCCUCUUUGCACUCUCUUCAAGUGUUUAUAUUUA